AGAGUUUGGUUUGGGAUUUAGGAUUUAGUUAAGAUUUGGUUUAUGAUUUAAGAUUUGCUUAUGAUUUGAUUUAGGAUUUAGAAUUAGAUUAGGAUUUGAUUUUAGAUUUAGGGUAUGGUUAGAAUUUGGUUAGGAUUUGAUUUAAGAUUCAGGAUUUGAUUAAGAUUUGGUUUAGAAUUUAGGAUUUGGUUAGAAUUUAUUUAGGAUUUGAUUUAGUGUUUAGGAUUUAAUUAGGAUUUGAUUUUGAGUUUAAGAUUUGUUUAAGGUUUGAUUGAAGUCUAUUAGAAUUUCAACUAAGAUUAAAUUAGCACUUAAUUGAAAUUUAUUUAAGAUAUAUUGUGAUUAUUUUAAUUUUUUUUUAGAGAUUCUUAAGGAUUCUUUUGAGUUUUAUUGUAGAUUAUCUUUCAACUUCUUUAAGAUUUCUUAUUAUUUAUUUUUUAAAUU
rnacentral:lncRNA from 1 species